CAAACACUCUAUGAUUGUUAACAUGCAUAUCAUCAUUAUGGAUGAAGUAUACUUAUGAUACUCGGAUCAGGCAGGAAUAAACAUCAUGGACUACCUGCAGGUUGACUUCUCAGUGGUAUGGCAGGUCUGAGUGUACCUAAGAGGGUCACGACCCUUACAGACUUUGAGACUGAUCUGGACAAACAGGACCGAGGAGCUGCUGCAGGACAUGGAAUGUUCCUUUUGUUUUUUCUUUGUUCCACUUUUUUGUUGAAAAGGUAGAAAAUUCCUUCCUCACAUUGGCAGCAGUCUAAGAAGAUUUUGCACAACUAAAUGGAUAAAUGCUUAGGUAGUGCUUGGUGUUGGUGUUGUAACUGAGAGUUCAUUCUUUUUUAUUUUCUCCUUCUAAGACACUAAAGAUUCAAUUUAGGAUUAAGACAAGCACUUUUUUACUUUUGAAGAUUUUUUGGUUUUCAGUACAGCUUGUCUCUAUAAUCUGUGUCCAACAUAAUAUAUGUUUCCUAUUCAUCCAGUAACAUGUGGAACAUAUAUUUUCUUAAUAAAAAAAGCCACUGUUAGUGAUUUAGAA